AAACAAACACACACACACACACACAAACCUCUGAGAGGGAGAAUGCAUCAUUAUUUUAUCCAUAUCUACUUUUUGAAUGAACAAAACCUCCACGUUAACCCACACACUGACCCGUCACUCUCACACUCACACACAGGCCGGGUCUCUGUUGCUAAUCUUCUUACCAAUCACAAGGUUUGACCGUUGAAACAGAACAAAGUUCACUCAGUCAGCAACAAACCUACGGUGAACACAGAAGAGAAUCUGAACACUUUCUUUGGACGUUCCUACCUCUCCACGGCAGAUUAAUCUAACAUUAUCCCAACCAUGUGUCCAUAAAAACCAUUCAUUUCCUUAAAAGCUUUCAAUUUGAUUCCAUUUCCUUUGACUUCUGCUUGAAUUCAACUGGAAGAGUUUCAGCUUCGGAAAAACUGCAUCGUGAAUCAAAACAGAAACCUGAGGAAUCGGAGACGUGUCCAGCAUGGAGGUGCUACACGGGCCCUGGGCCGACCUGGCUCUCGUGCUACGACAGACCAUCACACACUCAGACGCAGACACACACAGCUUUGUUCUACUGUGGCUGUGUGUGCUGGUGCUGUUCCUCUCCGUCAGUGCUCUGCUGCUGCAGAUGAUCGUCUACUUCCAGUGGAAGCUCAGACAAGUGACCCAUGAAGCAGCUUUGUCUGGAUUUGUGCAGGACAGAAGCGCCUCCUACAGGAAAGUGUCUGGAAGUGCACACCUGAGGAACAAUGUGGGCUCUCAUUCUUACACCUAAGGGGAAAAGAACCUACAUAAUCCUGCAAUGUACAGAAAAUAUUGACAGUCAGAUUGGAUAAGUGGUUUUUAGUCAAACAUGAUGCUUUUUUUUUUUUUUUUUUUAAAGAGUUGAAAAAUGGUUAAAAGCUAAUCGGUCACGUGAUCAUCUUUAAUAGCCUUUUUCAAUAAGAAAUUGUUUAGGUUAAUUGUAAGUAAUUUAAACAUUAUGUCCAUGUCUGUAUCUUUUAUUGUCCAUGUCUUAUAUGCAGAAGUUGCAAAGGUACUAGUCUUCUGUACUCGAGUAAAAGUAUAGCUACUUGAAUAAAAAAUGACUCUGGUAAAAGUCA
rnacentral:lncRNA from 1 species